UGUGUGUUCGUGAACGAGCAGGAAGGCUCCCAUGGAGCCAAAAACCCUAAACUUCAUCAAGUUCUUCAAAUUGAAAGACGAAACGAAGCCCAAAUUCACAACCAAACAUAAAUUAACAAUCACCUUCACAAGGGGAUCACAAGCAUGUACGGAUAGGAGUCAUGUCAACAUGGACACAAGCAUGGAAGGGCAACGGGCCAAAAAUAAACACGGAAGCUAUGCUUGAACUCGGACGCACGAGGCUGUACAGGGUUAUGGAAAUUUCAUCAAGAAGUGUACGCGGUCGAAGAUCGAGUCAAGUCAUGGAUUGUACGUGGGUCUGUAUGUGGUCACUUAAUUUGAUAUAUGUAUGUUAGUUUUCAUUAAUUUAUAAAAAAAGAUUAAUGUAUUUAAGUGAAUUGAAGAGUAUCAUGAAAGAAAUUUUACAUAUGCGUUU